UAAGGAAUAUUGCACAAUGGGCGAAAGCCUGAUGCAGCAACGCCGCGUGAGUGAUGAAGGCCUUCGGGUUGUAAAGCUCUGUCUUCUGGGACGAUAAUGACGGUACCAGAGGAGGAAGCCACGGCUAACUACGUGCCAGCAGCCGCGGUAAUACGUAGGUGGCAAGCGUUGUCCGGAUUUACUGGGCGUAAAGGAUGCGUAGGCGGAUACUUAAGUCAGAUGUGAAAAUCCCGGGCUUAACUUGGGAACUGCAUUUGAAACUGGGUAUCUAGAGUGCGGGAGAGGAAAGUGGAAUUCCUAGUGUAGCGGUGAAAUGCGUAGAGAUUAGGAAGAACACCAGUGGCGAAGGCGACUUUCUGAACCGUAACUGACGCUGAGGCAUGAAAGCGUGGGGAGCAAACA
rnacentral:rRNA from 1 species